rnacentral:tRNA from 1 species
UGCGAGGUAGGUCAGCUAGGAAGGCCGCCAGGCUCAUAACCUGGAGAUCGCCGGUUCAAAAGGAGUAGAGAGAUCCGAGGUGCUGGUCCCAGCAUCCGCUGCUUUUUGAUCUGCUCGCUCCUGAACAUCCGGCCCUCGCAACCA